rnacentral:lncRNA from 1 species
CUCUAAUAUAACAAGCUUACUUCUCUAGCAGCAAAUCAUGGAGAACAAGGCUUUCUUCGUGUUGUUUUUGGCGCUCGCCAUAUUUGUGAUGAUGCUGGCCAUGGGCGUGGACGUGGGAGGAAUCGCAAAGGCUGCUGCCCAGCGCUGCCAGUCGGGGUGGUAUUGGUAUGACAACGGUUGCCACCGUUGCCAGAAGGGUUGGAGCUGGCGCAACAAUCGCUGCUCGCGCAACUGAAACCUCUCGUUUCACG